rnacentral:rRNA from 1 species
UACGGAGGGGGCGAGCGUUAUUCGGAAUUAUUGGGCGUAAAGGGCGCGUAGGCGGCCCGGUAAGCCAAAGGUGAAAUCCCUCGGCUCAACUGAGGAACUGCCUUUGAAACUGUCGGGCUUGAGGCCGGGAGGGGGUAGCGGAAUUCCCAGUGUAGCGGUGAAAUGCGUAGAUACUGGGAGGAACACCAGUGGCGAAGGCGGCUACCUGGACCGGUUCUGACGCUGAUGCGCGAAAGCGUGGGUAGCAAACAGG